CACGAAGGGGGCUAGCGUUGCUCGGAAUCACUGGGCGUAAAGCGCACGUAGGCGGACUCUUAAGUCGGUGGUGAAAUCCUGGAGCUCAACUCCAGAACUGCCUUCGAUACUGAGAGUCUCGAGUCCGAGAGAGGUGAGUGGAACUGCGAGUGUAGAGGUGAAAUUCGUAGAUAUUCGCAAGAACACCAGUGGCGAAGGCGGCUCACUGGCUCGGUACUGACGCUGAGGUGCGAAAGCGUGGGGAGCAAACAGG
rnacentral:rRNA from 1 species